rnacentral:rRNA from 1 species
AUGGCAUCAGCAAGCUCACAAAUCUGGUCACCCUUGAUCUUGGGGGGGAAUGAGUUCAUCGGCAAUAUUCCAGAGUCUAUAGGUGAUCUGAAGAGAUUGGAGGAGCUGCAUUUGGACCACAACAACAUGUCAGGGGAGCUGCCAACAGCUCUAAGCAACUGCACGAAUCUCGUGACAAUUGACCUCAAUAGCAACCACUUCAGUGGAAAACUUACCAAGGUCGACUUCAUAAGCCUGCCGAAUCUAAAAAAGUUAGAUCUUCUUUUCAAUGACUUCACCGGCACAAUUCCAGAACGCAUAUACUCCUGCAGUAAGCUGACUGCACUAAGGCUAUCUUACAAUCAUUUUAAUGUUCAACUGUCAGAAAAAAUAGGCGAUCUGAAGUCCCUCUCAUUCUUAUCACUUGCUCAUAGCUCUCUUACAAAUAUCACAAGAACACUUCAGAUCCUUAGGAGUUCUAGAAGCCUCACCAUCCUUUAUAUUGGGUUCAACUUCCUGCAUGAGACCAUGCCAGAGGAUGACAGCAUUGAUGGUUUUGAGAAUCUCCAGGUUCUUUCCAUGAAUUAUUGUUCAUUGUCUGGAACAAUACCUGACUGGUUAUCAAAGCUCGCUAAUUUGGGGAUGCUAUUUUUGCAAAACAAUCAACUAACUGGAUCAAUACCUGACUGGGUCAGCAACCUACACUUGCUCUUCCAUCUAGAUAUAUCAAACAACAGCUUUACAGGGGAAAUUCCAAGUGCCUUAAUGGAGAUGCCAAUGCUAGAAUCAGAUAAGACUGCACCAAAGGUCUUCUUUGAGCUGCCUGUUUGGAACAAGAACACAUUUAUGCAAUACCUCAUGCUCAGUGCUUUUCCUAAGGUGCUUAAUCUAGCCAUCAAUAAUUUCACUGGUGUGAUUCUGGAGGAGAUCGGUCAGUUAAAUGCACUCAUCGCACUCAAUUUAAGCUCAAAUGAGUUAUCUGGAGAGAUCCCUCAAGCAAUCUGCAACCUCAGGAACCUGCAGGUGCUCGACUUAUCUGUUAACCAUCUUACUGGUGUAAUUCCAGCUGCACUAAACAAUCUGAACUUCCUUUCUGAGUUUGACAUUUCUAAUAAUGACCUAGAAGGCCCUAUUCCAACCGGGGGCCAGCUUAGCACGUUUCCAGAUUCGAGCUUUGAUGGAAACUCAAAACUGUGUGGUCCUAUGAGUCUAAGCCGCUGUGGCUCAGCAGGAGCAGGUCUGACCUCCACUUCCUACAGAAAACAGUUCAGAUGUAAGGUCAAACAGUUCAGAUGUAAGGUCAUCUUCGCGAUCUCUUUUGGUAUUUUCUUUGGAGUCGGAGUGCUAUAUGGUCAGAUGGUUUUGGCUAGAUAUUUUGGCUAG